UCAACUUGAGAGUUUGAUUCUGGCUCAGAACGAACGCUGGCGGCAGGCUUAACACAUGCAAGUCGAACGAUAUAGUGGCAGACGGGUGAGUAACGCGUGGGAACGUACCUUUCACUACGGAAUAGCUCUUGGAAACGAGUGGUAAUACCGUAUACGCCCUUCGGGGGAAAGAUUUAUCGGUGAAAGAUCGGCCCGCGUUAGAUUAGCUAGUUGGUAGGGUAAUGGCCUACCAAGGCGACGAUCUAUAGCUGGUCUGAGAGGAUGAUCAGCCACACUGGGACUGAGACACGGCCCAGACUCCUACGGGAGGCAGCAGUGGGGAAUCAUGGACAAUGGGGGCAACCCUGAUCCAGCCAUGCCGCGUGUGUGAAGAAGGCCUUCGGGUUGUAAAGCACUUUC
rnacentral:rRNA from 1 species